rnacentral:rRNA from 5 species
AAAUUGAAGAGUUUGAUCAUGGCUCAGAUUGAACGCUGGCGGCAGGCCUAACACAUGCAAGUCGAACGGUAACAGGAAGCAGCUUGCUGCUUUGCUGACGAGUGGCGGACGGGUGAGUAAUGUCUGGGAAACUGCCUGAUGGAGGGGGAUAACUACUGGAAACGGUGGCUAAUACCGCAUAACGUCGCAAGACCAAAGAGGGGGACCUUCGGGCCUCUUGCCAUCAGAUGUGCCCAGAUGGGAUUAGCUUGUUGGUGAGGUAACGGCUCACCAAGGCGACGAUCCCUAGCUGGUCUGAGAGGAUGACCAGCCACACUGGAACUGAGACACGGUCCAGACUCCUACGGGAGGCAGCAGUGGGGAAUAUUGCACAAUGGGCGCAAGCCUGAUGCAGCCAUGCCGCGUGUAUGAAGAAGGCCUUCGGGUUGUAAAGUACUUUCAGCGGGGAGGAAGGUGUUGUGGUUAAUAACCGCAGCAAUUGACGUUACCCGCAGAAGAAGCACCGGCUAACUCCGUGCCAGCAGCCGCGGUAAUACGGAGGGUGCAAGCGUUAAUCGGAAUUACUGGGCGUAAAGCGCACGCAGGCGGUCUGUCAAGUCGGAUGUGAAAUCCCCGGGCUCAACCUGGGAACUGCAUUCGAAACUGGCAGGCUUGAGUCUUGUAGAGGGGGGUGGAAUUCCAGGUGUAGCGGUGAAAUGCGUAGAGAUCUGGAGGAAUACCGGUGGCGAAGGCGGCCCCCUGGACAAAGACUGACGCUCAGGUGCGAAAGCGUGGGGAGCAAACAGGAUUAGAUACCCUGGUAGUCCACGCCGUAAACGAUGUCUACUUGGAGGUUGUGCCCUUGAGGCGUGGCUUCCGGAGCUAACGCGUUAAGUAGACCGCCUGGGGAGUACGGCCGCAAGGUUAAAACUCAAAUGAAUUGACGGGGGCCCGCACAAGCGGUGGAGCAUGUGGUUUAAUUCGAUGCAACGCGAAGAACCUUACCUGGUCUUGACAUCCACGGAAGUUUUCAGAGAUGAGAAUGUGCCUUCGGGAACCGUGAGACAGGUGCUGCAUGGCUGUCGUCAGCUCGUGUUGUGAAAUGUUGGGUUAAGUCCCGCAACGAGCGCAACCCUUAUCCUUUGUUGCCAGCGGUCCGGCCGGGAACUCAAAGGAGACUGCCAGUGAUAAACUGGAGGAAGGUGGGGAUGACGUCAAGUCAUCAUGGCCCUUACGACCAGGGCUACACACGUGCUACAAUGGCGCAUACAAAGAGAAGCGACCUCGCGAGAGCAAGCGGACCUCAUAAAGUGCGUCGUAGUCCGGAUUGGAGUCUGCAACUCGACUCCAUGAAGUCGGAAUCGCUAGUAAUCGUGGAUCAGAAUGCCACGGUGAAUACGUUCCCGGGCCUUGUACACACCGCCCGUCACACCAUGGGAGUGGGUUGCAAAAGAAGUAGGUAGCUUAACCUUCGGGAGGGCGCUUACCACUUUGUGAUUCAUGACUGGGGUGAAGUCGUAACAAGGUAACCGUAGGGGAACCUGCGGUUGGAUCACCUCCUUA